GACGAACGCGGCGGCGUGCCUAAUACAUGCAAGUAGAACGCUGAAGAGAGGAGCUUGCUCUUCUUGGAUGAGUUGCGAACGGGUGAGUAACGCGUAGGUAACCUGCCUUGUAGCGGGGGAUAACUAUUGGAAACGAUAGCUAAUACCGCAUAACAAUGGAUGACACAUGUCAUUUAUUUGAAAGGGGCAAUUGCUCCACUACAAGAUGGACCUGCGUUGUAUUAGCUAGUAGGUGAGGUAACGGCUCACCUAGGCGACGAUACAUAGCCGACCUGAGAGGGUGAUCGGCCACACUGGGACUGAGACACGGCCCAGACUCCUACGGGAGGCAGCAGUAGGGAAUCUUCGGCAAUGGGGGCAACCCUGACCGAGCAACGCCGCGUGAGUGAAGAAGGUUUUCGGAUCGUAAAGCUCUGUUGUAAGUCAAGAACGAGUGUGAGAGUGGAAAGUUCACACUGUGACGGUAGCUUACCAGAAAGGGACGGCUAACUACGUGCCAGCAGCCGCGGUAAUACGUAGGUCCCGAGCGUUGUCCGGAUUUAUUGGGCGUAAAGCGAGCGCAGGCGGUUUGAUAAGUCUGAAGUUAAAGGCUGUGGCUCAACCAUAGUUCGCUUUGGAAACUGUCAAACUUGAGUGCAGAAGGGGAGAGUGGAAUUCCAUGUGUAGCGGUGAAAUGCGUAGAUAUAUGGAGGAACACCGGUGGCGAAAGCGGCUCUCUGGUCUGUAACUGACGCUGAGGCUCGAAAGCGUGGGGAGCGAACAGG
rnacentral:rRNA from 1 species